AACAAUUAAAUUAUAUUAUAUAUACAGUAGAAUCCGGUUAUAACGACUUCGCUUAAAGCGUCCAACUGGUUAUGUCGACGAAAAUUCGAUGUCUUGGUUGAUCCCCAUACAAACUUAUAUGAAAGAA